GAAAAAGGGGGCCUCUGUAUAUGCUCCUGUCGCUAGAUGAGUCCGCGGCCCAUUAGCUAGUUGGUAGGGUAAUGGCCUACCAAGGCGACGAUGGGUAGCUGGUCUGAGAGGAUGAUCAGCCACACUGGAACUGAGACACGGCCCAGACUCCUACGGGAGGCAGCAGUAGGGAAUUUUCGGCAAUGGGCGCAAGCCUGACCGAGCAACGCCGCGUGAGUGAAUAAGGCCUUCGGGUUGUAAAGCUCUGUUGUAAGGGAAUCUUGAACUGACGGUACCUUACCAGAAAGCCACGGCUAACUACGUGCCAGCAGCCGCGGUAAUACGUAGGUGGCAAGCGUUAUCCGGAAUUAUUGGGCGUAAAGGGCGCGUAGGCGGUUUGUUAAGUCUGGUGUGAAAGCCCUGGGCUCAACCUGGGAAGUGCAUUGGAUACUGGCAAACUUGAGUACGGGAGAGGAUAGUGGAAUUUCGAGUGUAGGGGUGAAAUCCGUAGAUAUUCGAAGGAACACCGGUGGCGAAGGCGGCUAUCUGGACCGAUACUGACGCUGAGGCGCGAAAGCGUGGGGAGCAAAUAGGAUUAGAUACCCUAGUAGUCCACGCUGUAAACGAUGAAUACUAAGUGUAGGGGGUAUCAACUCCCCCUGUGCCGCAGCUAACGCAUUAAGUAUUCCGCCUGGGGAGUACGGUCGCAAGACUGAAACUCAAAGGAAUUGACGGGGACCCGCACAAGCAGCGGAGCAUGUGGUUUAAUUCGAAGCAACGCGAAGAACCUUACCAGGUCUUGACAUCCCUCUGAAUGGCGCUUAGCAGCAGGUCUUUCGGGACAGAGGAGACAGGUGGUGCAUGGUUGUCGUCAGCUCGUGUCGUGAGAUGUUGGGUUAAGUCCCGCAACGAGCGCAACCCUUGCCUUUAGUUGCCAGCACAUAAUGGUGGGCACUCUAGAGGGACUGCCGGUGACAAACCGGAGGAAGGUGGGGAUGACGUCAAAUCAUCAUGCCCCUUAUGAUCUGGGCUACACACGUGCUACAAUGGCCGGUACAACGAGAAGCGAAACCGCGAGGUGAAGCAAAUCUUUUAAAACCAGUCUCAGUUCGGAUUGUAGGCUGAAACUCGCCUACAUGAAGUUGGAGUUGCUAGUAAUCGCGAAUCAGCAUGUCGCGGUGAAUACGUUCCCGGGCCUUGUACACACCGCCCGUCACACCACGGGAGUUGAUUGCGCCCGAAGCCGGUGAGCU
rnacentral:rRNA from 1 species